rnacentral:rRNA from 1 species
AACUGACUUAUUUUUUCAAACCCCAUACCUAAAUGACUGAUUAUACUGUGAGAACGAAAGUUCUUGCUUUAAACUAGAUAACAACUUUCAGCAGUGGAUGUCUAGGCUCGCACAUCGAUGAAGAACGCUGCGAACUGCGAUACGUAAUGCGAAUUGCAGAAUUCAGUGAGUCAUCGAAAUUUUGAACGCAUAUUGCACUUCCGGGUUAUACCUGGAAGUAUGUCUGUAUCUUUUUUGUAUCUGCGUGGUGCUGUGUGUGAACGCGGUGGUUUUCGGAUCGCUCGCGGCUAUCGGCGACUUCGGUGAAUGCAUUAUGGAGUGGACCUCGAUUCGCGGUAUGUUGGGCUUCGGCUGGACAAUGUUGCUUAUUGUGUGUUUGUUCCGUGUUCGCCUUGAGGUGUACUGGUAGUUGUGGGAUUGAACUGGUUACUGUUGUUAGUAGUGUGUAGUGCGUUGUCGUGGAUGCAUCUGUCUUUUGUGCACUUUUGUGUGUGCAGYUGAUAGAAGAGGAGUUWGAAUUURRGAAAUUAGUGUACUGUGGGUUAAUCCUGCGUGUAUAUCUCAAUUGGACCUGAUAUCAGACAAGACUACCCGCU